rnacentral:rRNA from 1 species
AGCAGCCGCGGUAAUUCCAGCUCCAAUAGCGUAUAUUAAAGUUGUUGCAGUUAAAAAGCUCGUAGUUGAAUUUCGGGGUUCAUCCGUUGGUCGGGCUUUUUGGUCUGUACUGGCGUGAUGGAUUCCUACCUUCUGAAUAACCGGCAUGUCAUUAAUUUGGUGCGCCGGGGAAGCAGGACUGUUACCUUGAAAAAUUAGAGUGCUUAAAGCAGGCUAUCGCCUGAAUACAUUAGCAUGGAAUAAUGAAAUAGGACGGCAUGGUUCUAUUUUGUUGGUUUCUAGGAUCACCGUAAUGAUUAAUAGGGAUAGUUGGGGGCAUUAGUAUUCAGUUGUCAGAGGUGAAAUUCUUGGAUUUAUUGAAGACUAACUACUGCGAAAGCAUUUGCCAAGGAUGUUUUCAUUAAUCAAGAACGAAAGUUAGGGGAUCGAAGACGAUCAGAUACCGUCGUAGUCUUAACUAUAAACUAUGCCGACUAGGGAUCGGAUGGUGUUAAUUUUUAAUGUACUCAUUCGGCGUACC